rnacentral:rRNA from 1 species
AACGCGAAGAACCUUACCUGGGCUCGAAAUGUAGUGGAAUGGGGUGGAAACAUCCCCGUCUCGCAAGAGACUGCUAUAUAGGUGCUGCAUGGCUGUCGUCAGCUCGUGUCGUGAGAUGUUGGGUUAAGUCCCGCAACGAGCGCAACCCUUAUCCCUAGUUGCCAUCGGGUCAAGCCGGGCACUCUAGUGAAACCGCCCAGGAUAACUGGGAGGAAGGUGGGGAUGACGUCAAGUCCUCAUGGCCUUUAUGUCCAGGGCUACACACGUGCUACAAUGGUCGGUACAAACCGUCGCAAACUCGCGAGAGGGAGCUAAUCGGAAAAAGCCGGCCUCAGUUCGGAUUGGAGUCUGCAACCCGACUCCAUGAAGCUGGAAUCGCUAGUAAUCGCGGAUCAGAACGCCGCGGUGAAUACGUUCCCGGGCCUUGUA